CCUACGGGCGGCAGCAGUGAGGAAUAUUGGUCAAUGGUCGGGAGACUGAACCAGCCAAGCCGCGUGAGGGAUGAAGGUACAGAGUAUCGUAAACCUCUUUUGUCAGGGAACAAAGGCGGGGACGUGUCCCCGGAUGAGUGUACCUGAAGAAAAAGCAUCGGCUAACUCCGUGCCAGCAGCCGCGGUAAUACGGAGGAUGCGAGCGUUAUCUGGAUUUAUUGGGUUUAAAGGGUGCGAAGGGGGUAUGUUAAGUCAGCGGUCAAAGCCCGGGGCUCAACCCCGGCCCGCCGUUGAAACUGGCAGUCGCGAGUUGGAGAGAGGUAUGCGGAAUGCGCGGUGUAGCGGUGAAAUGCAUAGAUAUCGCGAAGAACUCCGAUUGCGAAGGCAGCAUGCCGGCUCCACACUGACGCUGAGGCACGAAAGCGUGGGUAUCGAACAGGAUUAGAUACCCUGGUAGUC
rnacentral:rRNA from 1 species